rnacentral:rRNA from 1 species
ACGGUCCUAAGGUAGCGAAAUUCCUUGUCGGGUAAGUUCCGACCUGCACGAAUGGCAUAACGAUGGCCACACUGUCUCCUCCCGAGACUCAGUGAAGUUGAAAUGUUUGUGAUGAUGCAAUCUACCCGCGGCUAGACGGAAAGACCCCAUGAACCUUUACUGCAGCUUUGCAUUGAACUGUGAACCGAUUUGUGUAGGAUAGGUGGGAGGCAGAGAAGAGGCCACGCCAGUGGCCUUGGAGCCGACCUUGAAAUACCACCCUGAUUUGUUUGCGGUUCUAACCACGGACAGUGAUCCUGUCUUGGGACCGUGCAUGGUAGGCAGUUUGACUGGGGCGGUCUCCUCCUAAAGGGUAACGGAGGAGUACGAAGGUACGCUAGGUACGGUCGGAAAUCGUGCUGAUAGUGCAAUGGCAAAAGCGUGCUUGACUGCGAGAGCAACAACUCGAGCAGAUGCGAAAGCAGGUCAUAGUGAUCCGGUGGCUCUGAAUGGAAGGGCCAUCGCUCAACGGAUAAAAGGUACUCUGGGGAUAACAGGCUGAUACCGCCCAAGAGUUCAUAUCGACGGCGGUGUUUGGCACCUCGAUGUCGGCUCAUCGCAUCCUGGGGCUGUAGUCGGUCCCAAGGGUAUGGCUGUUCGCCAUUUAAAGAGGUACGUGAGCUGGGUUUAAAACGUCGUGAGACAGUUUGGUCCCUAUCUGCCGUGGGCGUUGGAAGAUUGACGGGGGCUGCUCCUAGUACGAGAGGACCGGAGUGGACGCACCUCUGGUGUACCGGUUGUCACGCCAGUGGCAUUGCCGGGUAGCUAAGUGCGGAAGAGAUAACCGCUGAAAGCAUCUAAGCGGGAAACUUGCCUGAAGAUGAGUCUUCCCGGAGGUAAAACCUCCCUCAAGAGUCGUCCGAGACCAGGACGUCGAUAGGUCAGGUGUGUAAGCGCUGUGAGGCGUUGAGCUAACUGAUACUAAUUGCUCGUGAGGCUUGAUCCU